UACGUAGGGGGCAAGCGUUAUCCGGAUUUACUGGGUGUAAAGGGAGCGUAGACGGCAUGGCAAGUCAGAUGUGAAAGCCCGGGGCUCAACCCCGGGACUGCAUUUGAAACUGUCAGGCUGGAGUGCAGGAGAGGUAAGCGGAAUUCCUAGUGUAGCGGUGAAAUGCGUAGAUAUUAGGAGGAACACCAGUGGCGAAGGCGGCCUACUGGACGGUGACUGACGCUGAGGCUCGAAAGCGUGGGGAGCAAACAGG
rnacentral:rRNA from 1 species